UGCAGCACCAACAUUUUCUUCCAUGAGUUUAGCCACUUGCCUUUCUGUGCCAUCACUUGACCACUUUUCCCAAGCUGGUUGGUUAUUAUUUCCACCUUCACUGCUCUCUUCCUCUACUGAUGAUAUUGGAAUGUCUGUAACAAGUGGUGCUACUGCACCAGCUCCUCCUAACCUACUCAUGCUCAACACCUUCACUUGCAGCCGUAGGAAUUUGACAUAAUCUACAAUUUCAUCAAGCAUUACAGCUCUAUCAGUCUUAUUGACACUGGGAACCAACUCUUGCAAUGCUCUAAUUCUUUCUGCUAUCCUCUCUCUACGUAACCUCUCCGCUAUGCUAUGUGGAUCAGUAGCUUGUCCUCGCCUAGCUCUCACCCUUGGACGUAUUGCAGGGGGAUGCGGCAUUGAAGGCAUCGGUUGUCCAUGAAAACCAGGUUUGACAGAAGAAGAAGCUCUGCUAUCAACAACAUCAUCUCUAAACCUCCUUCCAGGUGCUGAAACAUCAUCCAUCUUCAAGAACCCACCUUUCCCUUGUUCUAAACUCAACCCUAAAGGAAAAGAACCACCCCCACCAUGACCAUGGAACCCCCCACCACCUAAACCAACCCCAAGACCCACUCCAGUAAACUGACUUGACCCAUCACCAGAGUUAAGCUGGAGCAUCAUCGCCGGCGGUAUAGCUCCGGCAUCAUUUCCCGCCAAAUUAGGUUCUGCUCCAUUGUAAGCAGGAAAUCCCAAGAUUUGGUCAAAGAAAUCAUCAGAAGGUCCCUCAGAAGGGUUGUUAGCCAUAGCAGAAACUAUAAAGAUUCAAUCUUUCUUGGAUCGGAGCUGUUUUCG
rnacentral:misc_RNA from 1 species